rnacentral:rRNA from 1 species
UGAGGAAUAUUGGUCAAUGGGCGGAAGCCUGAACCAGCCAAGUCGCGUGAGGGAAGAAGGCCCUGACGGGUCGCAGACCUCUUUGGACGGGGAGCAAGGCCGCCGACGUGUCGGCGGAAGGAGAGUACCCGUAGAACAAGCAUCGGCUAACUCCGUGCC